UGGGGAAUCUUCCGCAAUGGACGAAAGCCUGACGGAGCAACGCCGCGUGUAUGAUGAAGGUCUUCGGAUUGUAAAGUACUGUCAUUGGGGAAGAACGGUUUUCUUGAAAAGAUUGAGAAGACAUGACGGUACCCAAGGAGGAAGCCCCGGCUAACUACGUGCCAGCAGCCGCGGUAAUACGUAGGGGGCAAGCGUUGUCCGGAAUUAUUGGGCGUAAAGGGCGCGUAGGCGGGCCUUUAAGUCCGGUGUGAAAGAUCAGGGCUCAACCCUGAGAGUGCAUCGGAAACUGGAGGCCUUGAGGACAGGAGAGGAAAGUGGAAUUCCACGUGUAGCGGUGAAAUGCGUAGAUAUGUGGAGGAACACCAGUGGCGAAGGCGACUUUCUGGACUGUAACUGACGCUGAGGCGCGAAAAGCGUGGGGAGCAAAACAGGAUUAGAUACCCUGGUAGUCCACGCCGUAAACGAUGAGUGCUAGGUGUAGAGGGUAUCGACCCCUUCUGUGCCGCAGUUAACACAAUAAGCACUCCCGCCUGGGGAGUACGGCCGCAAGGUUGAAAACUUAAAUGAAAUUGACGGGGUCAUAGCUGUUUCCU
rnacentral:rRNA from 1 species